rnacentral:lncRNA from 1 species
UUUUUGAAAUUUGGGAACAGUGUAUUUUUAAUAUUGGGGGAUAUAUACUAUUUACUUUCCUAUACUUGAGCCUCUUGAAAAUUUGUCCUGAAAAUUACUGAGGUCUUACUUAAAAAGGUGAGCCAUUCUUCACUGUAAUGCUAAAAACUAACAUAUUUCACUUGUCAAAUUUGCUGAGGAUGAAAGGUAUCGCUUGGCAAAGCUUAUAUCCAUCACUAUUUACAUAUUGGCAGUAGAUAAAUUCAGGAAUUUCCACUGAAGAAAAAAGGGCAAGCUAAAUACACAUAAAUAAGUAAGGAGUGGCUUUGAAACUCCUUCUAGAUAAAAAUUGGGGUCCAACUGAGGUUCCCAUACUUUGCCAAGCACAAGUGUCCAAAAGCACAUAGGUUUCUCUUGACGCUCCUCUUGACACUGUCACAGGCGGCACUGAAUCACUCACUGGGCAGUGAGCCAAACUACCCGCACAGACAAUGAAUUAGCAGAGCAAUGUAGCAGAAAGUGGAUGGAUUUGACCCAAACAGAUGUGGCUUUACGUCCAGAGAAAGAGUCUUAUUUCAGGUCAAGUUUUUAACUCAUGUUUGUUUGUUUGUUGCUUGCUAUUUUGUUUUUGUUGUUGGUUUGGUUUGGUUUGGUUUGUGUGUAUGAAUGAUUUAGAUGCAUUUGUUUGUUUUAAACUAUUUAUUCAUUUUACAUCACACUCACUGCGUCACUUCCCAGUCACCCAAUUCCACAGUCCUCCCCUAUCCCCUUCCCCUUCUCUUCUGAGAGGGUAUACCCUAAAUAUCUCCCCACCCUGGCAUAUCCAGUCUCAGAGGUGUAGAUGCAUCCUCUCCCAACUAGGCUAGACAAGACAGCCCACCUAGAAGAACCACCCCCAUGACCCACAUCAUCCCAGUUCACUGUCUCCAUUAGCCUUUUAAUGAGUAUUUUAUUCUCUCUUCUAAGUGAGAUCCAGGCACCCUCCCUUGUGCUUUCCUACUUGCUUAGUUUUCUUGGGUCUGUGGAGUAUAGCAUGGGUAUCCUGUAUUUUAUGGCUAACAUCUACUUAUAACUGGGUAUAUACAAUGCAUGCUCUUUGGGGUCUAGAUUAUGUCACUCAGGAUGAUUUUCUCAAGUUCCAUCUAUUUGCCUGCAAAAUUCAUGAUGUCUUUCUUUGUUUUUAAUAGCCGAAUAGUACUCCAUUGUGUAGAAUGGAGUCAAAAGUUUUAAACUCUUAACUAGACUUGGAGUUUUUCCAUCUAGUGAGCUAAGGGAAUGACAUUUGUAUUUUGUUAAGGGAUAAGCAUGUGGGUUAAGGAAGUGCACAUUACUAUUGAACAUUCUGAAUAGUUGUCUUUUACUUGCUAAGUGACACCAUGGACUUGCUGAGCUGUUGGCUAAAGAUUCAGGUCAUUGUCAGGUACAGUGAUAGAGACAAUUGGGGGAUAGUGAAGCUGAAGUCUGGACACAGUCCUAAUUUCUCUAGGUGCUCAGCUGUACUCUGAAAAAAAUGAAUCUGAGUCUGCAGUUGGAAACAUUGCAAAACUUGAUUGAAAGAAAAGUAUUUUUUAAAAAAAUACUAUCAUCUUUUAUAUAGAUAUGAGGUCACUGAAAUUAUUAUGAGUCACUAAAGAGUAAAGAAAGUAUGAAUAAUGGGUGAAAUGAGGGAGUGGACAGUAACUGCAGAUCCAUCCUGUACUGCCAGACCUCUACUCUGUUGUAAGCAUAAUGACUUCCAUAUGCCCGUUCCUUACCUUAUUUGUAAUGAUGACUAUAUUGCUUUGAAAUAACAACAACAACAACAACAACAACAACAACAACAAAAAGACUUUUCAGUGGUUAUAAAGGAAUCAGCCUUAAAAUGAAAAGAGCAUCCUGUCUGAUUCAAUGGGCAUAAUAUGAUCACAUUGAUGUACAGAAAGAAACCAGGAUCUAGGUCUUCUAUCAGCAAGGACUUCACUGUGCUGAGAGAAUACACAAGGAGAAAACAGAAUCCUCUCAAGGACAUAGGAGAAGCACCUUCCUGCCCUCAUCCUCUUUUGGUAUCCUGAGCCUCUCAGCAAAGGACCCAGCCCAGUGAAAUGUACUGAGAUGUCUGUUAGUGACAGAACACUGAGGUUCAAUAGUAGUCCAUGUGUUUAAGCUGCCAAGUUUGUGGAUACAUACAUACAUACAUACAUACAUACAUAUAUAUAUAUAUAUAUAAUGUAUAUAUUGUGGAAGAAACCAACAACAAUGCACACCAUUUAUAUACUCUGCAUCCUUGGGAAGGAUUAAUGUUACAAUGAGGAAAAUCACUUAAGGUCUCAUGUAAGUUUAUAUCCUUUCAAUGGUCUGUUGCAUCCACAUGCAAUUAUCCAUCUUACUUGAUGCACAAUGCAAACUGACUUGUGAAUGAAAUAGAAAACCCACUUAGAAUCUCACGGAAGCUAACUAUGGAAUCACAUGUCUGCUAAAGUUUUCCAACAGUGUCUGAGUUUAAAGGUAAAAUCUAUAUGUUGACAAGAAAGAAGACUAGGAAUGUUUCAGGCAAAACUUGCUGUUGAUAUAGAAGAUGGGUCUCUAGAGGAUAAUGAAAAUGUCAGUACAAAAUGCUCAGAGUUUGCUAAAGUUUAUGGUUUUUUAUAUUUAAAAUAUUUCAGAGCUCAUAAUUUCAUAGGCACCAUAAAUUUUAAAUACAGAGUAGUUUUCGAAAGUGAAAUAAAUGCUGCAUAGCUUAUGAUUGCCAAAAGACCUUUAAAAUGUUUAAAAUGUAAGACAAACACAUUGUUUACUUCAUGUAUCCAGAGACACACAUGAAAGAAAAAAAAAUCCUAAAGUGAAGAUCAUUUUGUAGCUAUGCAAAAAACAAAACAAAACAAAC